rnacentral:rRNA from 1 species
UUGGAGGGCAAGUCUGGUGCCAGCAGCCGCGGUAAUUCCAGCUCCAAUAGCGUAUAUUAAAAUUGUUGCAGUUAAAAAGCUCGUAGUUGAAUUUCUGCUGCAUUGCUUUUGCUCCUUUACGAGUCUUUGCAUUGUGGCUUAUUUCGGACUUUGUUUUACAAUGUCCGGAUGUUUACUUUGAGAAAAUUAGAGUGCUCAAAGCAGGCUUUCGCCUUGAAUAGUUUAGCAUGGAAUAAUAAAGUAGGACUUUGGUUCUAUUUUGUUGGUUUUAGGUACCAAAGUAAUGGUUAAUAGGAACAGUUGGGGGCAUUCGUAUUUAACUGUCAGAGGUGAAAUUCUUAGAUUUGUUAAAGACGAACUACUGCGAAAGCAUUUGCCAAGGAUGUUUUCAUUA